AUGUGGGGCUUGAACUCAUGACCCUGAGACCAAGAGUCACAUGCUCCGCUGACUGAGCCAGCCAGGCACCCCUUGAUGUGGUUUUGUAUCCACCCAACGUAGAUUUAGUUUUCAGAUCUCCUUCAGAGAGAAACUGUUCUGAACGUGGCUAUAGACGUCGUGUGUCGGACAGGAGAUAAAACCAUUUACAAACUGUUUCCAAACUUACAAUUAACAAAUGAAGAAGGAAAUAAAUGGAAACAUCAUUACCUUUACACUGAGGAGGGUCACUACUCCACUUGUUAUUCCCAACACAAAUAAGUUUGCUGUCUCCAACAAGUGAAAAUUCGUCUGAUCCUUGUGAAGGAUUACAACUAGUCUUUGGGGGAGAAUUCCAGGAAAAUGGCAGAGUGGGAAGUGCCAGGAACCUGUCUACCCAACUGGGCAACAACUGCAAUGGCAGAAUCUGUCAAGGGUGACUACUGUGGAGCUCUGGAGUCUGUUGAUGGCUUGCAACUUCCCAGGAAAGACUUGGACAGGUUUACCCUUGAGCUUCAUAGUUUCGAAUUUUGGUGGUUCACCACAGGCAUCUAGUGAUAAGACAACGAGAAUAUGAAAAUGAAGUAUUUAUCUCUUUCACCAGCCAAGGCUCUGGUCUGGCAGCAGAGAACUGUUUCUCCCUGAUCAGCUACUGUUUCUUUUCAGACCCUACUAAAAAAACUCAGAAGAUUUUUCUGCAGCAGCCUGGUUUCAAGGUCAAUGGAUGAACAAGCAAGGCCAUACAUUCCUUACCCGAGAUAAGGAGUCCAAGACCCAAUCCAGGUUAUACUGGUUCUCAGAGCAGACCCGUAGCCCCUUCUCCUUGUCCUAAGAUAACUGCAUGAGGCCAGGGUGCUAAAUUUUGCCUCCUUCUGAUGCUAAGUAUCCACCCCAAAGGGAACGUGGGAUAUAUGCUUGCGGUCACUGAAUGCACAUGCUCUACCUCUCCUCAUGAUUAGUUGUAGGUUUCCCCACUGUUUUAUCAAUAUGUAUAUAAUCCCAACCCUAUGAUUAUUAAAGAAAAAAAACUUGUUCUUGCCUCCCUCAGAGAGGGGGCUUUGGGGCUUGUUCUCCCAUCCCCUCCUUGGGUUGCCUCUCAAAUAAACUUUCUUCGCU